rnacentral:rRNA from 1 species
UUAACACAUGCAAGUCGAACGGAAAGGCCCUUUCGGGGGUACUCGAGUGGCGAACGGGUGAGUAACACGUGGGUGAUCUGCCCUGCACUUUGGGAUAAGCCUGGGAAACUGGGUCUAAUACCGAAUAGGACUCCGGGAUGCAUGUUCCGGGGUGGAAAGCUUUUGCGGUGUGGGAUGGGCCCGCGGCCUAUCAGCUUGUUGGUGGGGUGAUGGCCUACCAAGGCGACGACGGGUAGCCGGCCUGAGAGGGUGUCCGGCCACACUGGGACUGAGAUACGGCCCAGACUCCUACGGGAGGCAGCAGUGGGGAAUAUUGCACAAUGGGCGCAAGCCUGAUGCAGCGACGCCGCGUGGGGGAUGACGGCCUUCGGGUUGUAAACCCCUUUCAGCACAGACGAAGCGCAAGUGACGGUAUGUGCAGAAGAAGCACCGGCCAACUACGUGCCAGCAGCCGCGGUAAUACGUAGGGUGCGAGCGUUGUCCGGAAUUACUGGGCGUAAAGAGCUCGUAGGUGGUUUGUCGCGUUGUUCGUGAAAACUCACAGCUCAACUGUGGGCGUGCGGGCGAUACGGGCAGACUGGAGUACUGCAGGGGAGACUGGAAUUCCUGGUGUAGCGGUGGAAUGCGCAGAUAUCAGGAGGAACACCGGUGGCGAAGGCGGGUCUCUGGGCAGUAACUGAC